AUGUCCGGAUCCAACCUUCAAGGUCGGUGGAUGGCCUCCUCUGUCACAGAGGAGGACAUUGUGAAGCUCAGGGAGGCCAGAUAUUUGACCGUGGAUGUCAAGCACAGGCUACCCGCCCCUGAGCAGAUCAUCCCCACUCCCGAACCCAACGAGAGUGUCGUAUUUGUUUCUCACUUCCUCCGAGGCUUGGGAUUGACUCUUGAUCCCUUUGUGAGAGGGCUCAUGUUCUACUACGGGCUAGAUUUUCACAAUCUAGCUCCGGAUUCCAUCCUCCACAUCUUGUCGUUUAUCGUCGUGUGUGAACCUUCCUCCAUAUCACCCCACCCUUCAGACUAUGGCUCAAGACCUUCAAUGUGA
rnacentral:rRNA from 1 species